rnacentral:misc_RNA from 1 species
AGCCCGUCUGCAUGUCAGUUUCGCUGUGUAUUGUGCGCCUCUGUGUCACGAGUGAUUUCUCUCGUCCAGUCCUACCCAACUCAGGAAAAUAAAGAUCAGUGCCUGGACAAUACGUCCGGACUUUCUGACCGUUAUUGUUUCCGAGUUCAAAGAAGCAAUUCUUUCCGAGUACAAAGAAGCAAUUUGAUCGAGUACAACGAAAUUGUACGAAGUGACCAUGGACAGGAUGCAAGAAGAUCACGGGCUGACGGUAGAGCUGGGGAUAGUCAUGUCAACCAUGCCUUCUCCCCCCUUGGCUCUGCCUCAUAACAAACAGCGACCUACAAUUUAUGUUUACCCUACUGUACAACCGGAGACCAUUGUCAUCCCCAUAGUGUCGUGUAUCCUUGGGUUUCCCCUGCUAGCCCUCCUGGUGAUCUGCUGUCUCAGACGUCGUGCCAAGCUCGCCAGGGAGCGUGACCGACGUCGCGCAGGCAACUGCGAGUCCGACCCCGGGGCCAUCUCCUUGGUCAGGUUCAGCCCUAUGCACAGACUCGAAGACGAGGUUGGACAUGUUGUGAUGACGGAGGAGGAGUGUACCUGGCCGGCCCCACAGCAGGGCGUAACCGAGCAGUGAGUCUGCGCAGUGAGAGAGCUCUCAGUCGCGCCUUCCCCUCGGCAGAGCUCGACACUGUCGUGGAGGAGCGGAGCGAUCCCGACCCCGAGUCUACUGCCGUGGAGGUCCUGAGUCCGGACAGCUAGCAGAACGGGGUGGAGGGGAAGGUGAUGCCGAGGUCUCCACUGUGGAACACGCUGACCAACAACACUGACGACCAGCCUGAGGCUGUCAGCUGACAUCAACUCAACAUUUGAUCGUCAAUCGUGGACAUGACAGUGCUGCCCACGCUGCUGACAUGGCCACCUGCCGCCACCACCCUCACGCCCUCGCCGACCUCGGACACCGAUACCAAAAUAGAUAUCGAGUGUGUAUAGCACAUCGUGUAAAGUUAACUUUCGUGGGUGAUGAAAACAUUAAUGGCAUUGUUUAAAAAAAUAAUCAUCAAAGUUUUCUUUUUUUGUGUAUUAGUGUUUAAAAAAUCUAAAAGCAAUCAAAAAUAGGGGUUGAAACUUAAAAAUAUUUCAAACUCAUUUUGUACAUCCAUCCCAAAGACCUUUCUCUUCUGUUGGUUUAUGACUUGAAAACGAAACCGUUACACCAAUUUUGAGCCGAAAAUAUUUUUAUUUGCAUAAAACAAACGAUGAUUUCCAUUUCAAUUGAAAAGUGUACUUUAGGAGGUGUACAUUACGUCGGCUCAUGCCUUUUGUUAGUAAAGGAUGGAUAACAUAGUGUUUUGUUUAAUUGGUUGAAAACUAUAAAUCCUCAUAUUUAUCCGUUACAAAAAUGGAACUAAACUGAAGUAUAAAGUCCACGUUUAGUGAGCAAGUAUUGAAGGCAAGUAGCAUGAUAUUCUACCGACAUCUUACUGAACCUUACUUUAUUAAUGUACUUACACCUUAUCUGUUUAUUAUUACCCCUCUUAAUUCUUACGCUAAUAAUGUUUUCAUCGAGAGUGACAUGAGACGAUUCCUUUAUAUAAAAGUGGUGUUUUUUACAUCUUCCAAAAACUUUUGCUAGAAGGACAUUCAAGGACUCCUUUUACUGGAGAGGAAUUACUUUAGGAGACCAAAAAACAGUAUAUUUUGUAGAGUGACAUAUUUUUAAUACUCAAGACCAGCAAUCUUGAUGACACAAUCACAUGGCCAUGCCUUAUACUGUAUACAGUUAGAGAUACGAUGUACUUUAUAGCCUAUGCCAGUUAGGUGCUAUAGCUUUUCGUUACCUGUUUGUUAUAUUCUACUAUUGUUUACCACAGUAUUCUUGUUGUCGGUUAUUGCAGUAUUUGCUAGGAUCUAGAUUUGUUAAGGUCUUUGUUCACUUAGCGAAGUUAUUGUAAUUGUUACAUUGUAUUGUACGUUAGUGUUGGUUAUAGUUACAUGGGCUUUGACCGGUUCUGUUUGUCCGUUCGCUGAUAGGUAACAGGGUAUAGCUUGUAUUGAACGCGGUUAGAGUUAGUCUAAUAUCGUUCCAUGUUUGAAAUCGUUGAAAAAUGUUUUACUGCAACAAAACAGUUUGGUUUAGCAGAAAAUUUAACUUUAUAACGAAGUAACUAUAACAGAAUCCUUUAUAUCCGUAACUGACGUAACUGGGGCGUGGUUAAAACGGAAAAUAUUCCGAUAAUACAAGAAGAAAAAGUACUUUUCCCAUGCAAAUAAUAUCUACAUAUUUAACAAAAGGCACUCAUUCAGUAUUAUAGAAAUAAUAUUUAGUUAACAAAUAUAGUAUAUAUCGUACUAAUAAGAAAACUAAUUGACGAAAAGUCCGAUCAUGAAUGUUAUAGUCUCAUACCGGAAACAAGCAGAAGGACGGACUCUAGUCCGGAUAUCCUGAAGAGUCAGUUAUCCGAGGUCGGAUAUAAGGGGUUCUGCUCUAUACAAAAUUCAAUUUGUACUGAAACUUAAAUCGGAAACAUGUUAUUUAUGUUUAAAACACUGUACAUCUCCCUAAAAAUUUAAACUAAUUAAAAAAUAAUGACUAGUUUUAGCAUAUAUUGGUAAAGUUUAUCAAUAUAUAUGUUCACUACUUUACUAAAUUAUUUUUCUCAACGAUUAAUUAUUAUAUUAUUACGGUCUUCUGUACAUCCAUCAUUACAAUAGAUUGCCCAUUACCAGCGUGGUGUAGGGACCAUAAUUAUUACCCAUUCUCCAUUGAAAACUCAACAAAGCUAUCUUAAAAGAUACCACAUUGAGUAUAAAUAAAAUGACCCACCCCUGCCACUAUUAAAUUUUAAUAACAAAACUAAAAUUAAGGACGAUAACCAACAUACAUGAUUAUAAAGUAGAUAGGAAUUAUAAUAGUAUCUCAUACAUAUUCCCCAAAUGGUGGUGAAAAAAACAUAACAUUUUCAAUUGAAAACCUUAAAAAUCUAAAAAAAAGAACAGAAGCUAAAAUAAAAGUCCUAUGUCAAUAAUUUUUAAAGGAUCAUACAAUAAAGGUUUUCCAUUCACAAUUUGUAUCUUUAAACAGCAUUUACACAAAACUGUAGAUUGUUAUUUAAAUAAACUUUAAUUUGAUCAAUGGAUGAUUUAGAAUACUAAAAAAUCACCAUAUAAAUUAUGAGGAGGCGUGCAGAAUUAAAACAUAUUUCAAAACAUAAUUCUAUUUAUGUACUUAUGGGAAUAAACAGAGUAUUUAGUUUUUUUUUAUUGGUGCACUUCAUCAUGAAAAGAAAUAAAUAAAUGUAUUUCAUUAAAAACCUACCUUUAAAUGUACUUUAAUAGGUCAUUUUAUAUGUAUAAGAUAACAAUAUUUUGUAAGUCACAGUGAGUUUUAAUUGUUACGUGUCAUGAGAUGAGGUUUAUUCAAUCUUAUGAUUUAUUUAUUUCUCCUUACAUAACCAGUUUGACAAAAGAUAGAAAUUAAAGAAUAAUUCAAAACUAAUCAUUACGUAGUUAAAUAGACACCAUUCCACCCUUUACAUUACUUUCGGAUUUAUUACAAUGAUUUAUAAUGCCAAAAGCAGAAAGUUCUUUCUUUCCAAUGUGUGUUUCUUCUAUAUUUUUAAUUAUAAUAAUGUACAGUAGUAUUUGGUCAUCACUUUUUGAGGUUACAUUACGUUAUAGGUCUUAAUGUACAUAUUUUAGAUUUCUGGUGUCACUAAUAAUUGUUACAGAUAACAUUGAUUGUACUUAUAUCAAAUUUAUUUUUAAGGGUGUAAAUUGCUAGUCUGAAUUAAAUUUAUAUUGUUGGAGUUUUAAUACUUUAUAGUCUGAUUGUACAAAACCUUCACGUAUUAAUUUUAGCCUAAGUAAUUAUUCGUGUUUAUGUACUGUAUAUGUUUUGUAAAUUGUUAUAAGGUAUUAUUAUUGUUGAUUUUUAAUGUAUUUUAUAUUUAAUACUGAUAGAAACAUCAAAAUUGUAAAUAAUUUAGUCAUAACACUGAUCUAGGCUUUAUAAGUUUUACACUCAGUUUUGUAAUCAUUUUAGUGCUGUUUGCUAAUAAUAGUUUUUAUUAUUUACGUUGCUAAACACAUCACAAAGCUUUAGAAACUUUGUAACUAACAAUUUCUGAGGAAGUUUUGUUACCAACGUUUGGUUAUUAAUGUAAAAAUAAUAAUUUUUAUUUGAUAAUGACCAUGAGUUGGGUUGUGUUGGGCAAUUUCAAAGAUUUUCAGUUAACACGAGACGGUUGCAUAUCAAAUAAGUGUUCAUCAAUUAUUGAAACCACGGAAUCUAAUUACAUUUAAUAGUGUUUCUUAUCAUAGCUUAAUAACAUUAUUUGAAAACAGCUAAGAAUAUUAUAUUGCAACCAAACAUGUCUCACAACUUUUAAUUUCAGCGAAACAAUAGUUACUAAGAUACAUUUAUAUAGAUUAAGACAUAAAAUGUAAAAAAAUCAGAUAAACAAUAAAACUAACUUUAUUAAUUAUAAUGCAUUUGGGAAGUUGUGUAAGUAUGCCAAGAUUCUCCCAAGGCUUAUUAUUUUAUGAGUGUGUUUGUUUAUCAUUCAUUAACUGUUGUGUAUAGAACAGUUAAAAAAUAACGCUUAAAGGAGAGACAAUUAUUUCGUUCGAAUCUAAAUAAUAGCACUUCCAACCAUAACACCUCCCACCUUUUACUGUUGAACUGUGGUACGUACAGCGUGUUUCAGUAAUAAGGAAGAAAUCAAUGGAACAAAUAAUCAUAAAUUUAAGUCAAUCCGUGUUGUUGACGUUGUACCAAACUAUUCAAAAAAUAUAUUCGAUUUAUUCAUUAAAGUGAAAAAAGUGACAUGACUUAUAAAGGAUUCUCGCAUUCUGAUUGUUUUCCAAGUGUUAAGUUUUUGAUACAACAGUCUUUGAUAUUUCUUUUGGUCGGAUAUUAGUUGUCAAUGAGGGGAAACAGGGGUGGUUAAGAAACUGAAACUAAGUAAAGCUUCCUCCGAGGAUGCGCUGACUCUUCAACCCAAUUCCCAUGGUAAACCUGAAUAAUUAAUUUUCCACUUAUACUUAAUUAAAUAGCCAAGAAAAUUAACCUGUUCGUGACAGUGCUUAUUAUAAACAAUUUCCCUAUGCUUUAAUCUUUUAUUGGUCAAUCUAGACAAUUCCAAUUAUUGGUAAAUAUGUUAUUGUUGCUACUGAAAUUGAAAUGUGGCUACGCAUAUUUAAGUCAAUUUAAUUAUUUAAUUAUUUAUUUGCUUCAACAAUAGUUAUUCAUGGAAACACACUCCAACUUUAUUACAUUGGUUUACAUUUAUAAUUGUAGCCCUCUAAAUCGUCUUUCCGAAAGUGAUCAUUGUACAGUUUAGAACCGCACUACCAAUCGCUACUAUUAUUUUGGUCUUGGUAGUAUUGAUAUUUUCCCAAAACAUGGCACAAACCGUCGGUACAGUGCUUAAAUAAUGUAUUACUCUGUUGCUUCUAAUCACUAUUUUCUUGGAACGGGAUGUGAUUCUGAAUAGCAAAAUAUAUGUAGGAAAUGUAUAAGUGAUAGUCUUUGUUUGUAAAUUAAAUGUUAUAAAUACUAUCUAAAACAAUUCAAAAGCAAUUGGAAGAUAUUUUAGACAACUUUUUUUAUGAAAUUGUCGACUCAUUAAAUGACCCUGAAUGAUUACUUCUAUAAAUUUUUCAAAGUUUUUGAUUAAUUUUAUAAAACUGUACAUUCGGAUUUUUUAUGAUAGCACUUCUCUAAAAAACAACGAUAAAUCAAGUUUGUUUUAAGGCUAUAGCAGAAAUUGAUCAAUUAGUUGCUGUAUGAAUCUGCUUGACAAGACAAAGGAUAGAUUUAGUUGUGACUCUGAUAUUGUACAAUCAGUUAUGUACACUGUACAUAGUCGUGGCUUCUACAACUGUGUCUCAUGCAUCGUUAGAUAUUAUUAUUGUAAAGAUUAAAUAAAUAUUAUUCCUACUACAGUA